CGAGUUUGAGUGAAUCAAGCCAAGGUGUGCCAGUCUCUCAGGGCUAUGUUGAAGGGAGACAGGAGUGGGCUGGAACCCCACAUUUUGACCUGAUUCUGUGUUUCUGGUUCUCAUGUCGUCACCCCCUGGUCAGGUUCAAGCUCUUAGACUGGUCUCUAGAAGUGGCACCCUGAACAGGGACCUGGUCAAGGAAGUCUGCCCCAGGGGAAAAAUACAGUGAAUCAGCGACAAGGACUUCUGCAGUGGAGAGAAGCCGCUGGCAAAAGAAAGGGCUGGAUGAUUCCUUGUGGAAUGAGAAGAGCUUUGCCUUGUUUCCCUCAAGUGGUUGCUGCUACAUUUCUGAGAUUUGGAGUCAGUUUGAGGCCAACUAGUCAGGAAGGCUAAAAUCCACCCCAGAGGGCUCGAAGUCUGAAGCUUGUUCGCUUGAUUUCCCUCUAGAUGAGGUUGUGCUCAUCCAGAAGUGACUGCGUGAUGUUUUGGCUGCUGUCUGAUAUGAAUCGGGAAGAAAAUCACAAGACUAAAAGUUUCCUUAAUAGAAUCCAGCAUAGCCUCUGAGAAUUCUAUGGGAAAUCUGCUGCUGAGCAUACCACACAGCUGUGAAGAAGUGGGUACCGAAGACCAGAGAGGGACCUAGGAAGAAGUGGAUUUUUGGGAGAGGCUGUGACACCAGGAAAGGGUUAUAACACGCCGGUGACGUGAUGAGCGGGCAAACCCCGGGAGACCCUUGCCAGGUGUGACUGAAUACGUGAAGAAAGUCGGGAGCAAAUGAAAGACCAGGCUUUGUGAAUUCAGUGAUACUUCCUGCACCAUAGACUCUGGAAUCUAAACCAGUUUCUCCCAUGUGGUUCAUGAAUUUCUGCAUAAAAGCUUUGAAAACAUUUCCCAAAAGUCCCCAGGAGCUUUCAUAACCACUAAUUGGCCUCUACUUUUUGGAAGUUUGGUGAUCUAGAAAGUUGGAAUGGAAACUGCCGUCCUGCUAUAAAACACCAAGGAUCCUGGGUAAAAUAGAACACUUUAAAAAUACUGUUGACCUUGCAAGACCUUGAAGAAAAUCCACAUGUUGCAAGAACAAAGAGGAAGGCAAAAUCCAGAGCAUGAAACCUACAAAUUCAGCCACAAACAGUAGCUGCCUUCAGGGAUACCAGGACCCUCCCCUGUGGGUUCUAACUCCCAAGCAAGGACCAGACCACUCAGAUACCUUGUGGACAUUUCGAAAAGGCACUCCACCCCAGUCCUUACCGGUUAAAAGGGGACUCUCAAGAAAGGGGGCCCUCCAUGCUUACUUGCCAGGGACUGUCCUCUCUGUGCUUGGAGUCUUUUCAUGACUAUUAAUAGCACUUGGUUCCCCUUCAGAAAUAUGUAGAUUAGAACGACAAAUUACAUUUCCCUCUGUUCAAAGGCUACUUAGUAAAAGGAUGGGCAAGGAAACAAAAAUAGCUUCCAGCAGCCACAGAGUCAAGGCAUGCCAUUUCCACUUUGUGUUGCACAGGGAUAAAAAAGAUUUUAAGUUAAUAAAAGCAUGCCCUCUAAAAGUUAAUAAAGAUGAGCCCUUCUUCCACAUGGGGUCAAAACACUGUAUGAGUAUCUGUCUGUAUAUAUUGUAUUUAAAAGCUGGAAAACUGAAGAGAGAAAAAUCACUCAUACUUUCUCAAUCCAAAUAAAAC
ensembl:lncRNA